rnacentral:rRNA from 1 species
AUUGAACGCUGGCGGCAAGCCUAACACAUGCAAGUCGAGCGGUAGCACAAGGGAGCUUGCUCCCUGGGUGACGAGCGGCGGACGGGUGAGUAAUGUCUGGGAAACUGCCUGAUGGAGGGGGAUAACUACUGGAAACGGUAGCUAAUACCGCAUAACGUCGCAAGACCAAAGAGGGGGACCUUCGGGCCUCUUGCCAUCGGAUGUGCCCAGAUGGGAUUAGCUAGUAGGUGGGGUAAAGGCUCACCUAGGCGACGAUCCCUAGCUGGUCUGAGAGGAUGACCAGCCACACUGGAACUGAGACACGGUCCAGACUCCUACGGGAGGCAGCAGUGGGGAAUAUUGCACAAUGGGCGCAAGCCUGAUGCAGCCAUGCCGCGUGUGUGAAGAAGGCCUUCGGGUUGUAAAGCACUUUCAGCGGGGAGGAAGGGAGCAGACUUAAUACGUCUGUUCAUUGACGUUACCCGCAGAAGAAGCACCGGCUAACUCCGUGCCAGCAGCCGCCGUAAAAC